CAGCUUCACCUGGAUACUAGAUGAAUGACUUACUGGAUCAGCUGUCCCUCAGAAGGAUUCAUUCAUGUAGUUUUAAUUGUUGACUGGCAGGCUGGGAUUUGCCUUUGGGAUAUAACACUCAGUAGGCUUUAAAAUUGCUUUCAGAUUAAUUUAAAGCCAUAUGUAGAAUUCUUUAUGAAUAAAAAAAAUGCUGCUUGCUAUCUACACAAAAAGUAUUCCAGACAGUUUAAUAAGAUAUUUAUAGAUGGUAUUGCAUUUAUACGGUUCCAUCAGAACUGCUCGCUUUGGUAUUCAAUCAGCGCAGUUCGCUCAGUCGAAUUAUGUCCAUCUAUGGUAAACUGGCCAGCUAUGUAGCUAAUGCUAACUUAAGCCAUUUAGAUUAAGGUCUGUUUCACAGUUUCACCAUCCUAAUGAGUCCACAAUCGAGAAAACGGUGUGUCAGAUGUCAAACUGUAGACAGCACACGCGCGUUAUCAUUUAUAAAUGUUCGCAUGGGUUAAAACUAUGCCAUACCAAAGAGUAAAGAAGGGAGCUUCAGGAAGUAAACAGCACAUUCUUCGUAUUGACGUCACCGCGUGUUUACGUGACUCUCUGCUGCGCCCGUGUGUUGGAGGCCUGUCAUUGCAUUGCGUAUCGAAAAAUAUAUACAUUUUUAAACGUAUUUUCAAGUAACUUAGCUUUUUAUUCAUCUCUGUUACACAAUAUCGUCUUACAAUUAUUUACAAUAAAAAAUAAAUAGAUAUAAGUCACCAUCUCUAGUAGUCGCAUUUUUUUUCUCCCAGUUUGGCUCAAAUUGUGUUUUUCCGCAGGUAAAAAAAUGCAACGCACUAAAGACUGCCUAACUCAGGAAUCCCGUUUUUGUGGGGCUAAAACGGCUGACGACUGAAAGCUGCGUGAAUCAAGUGCAGUUUUAUUUUUGUGGCAAUGUUGUUGACUCAGAUUAAAGUGGUAUGUGCUGUCCUGUGCCUCAUUGGCUUCAGGGAGCCCUGGAAUAACUCAGAUGUUACAGCGGUUCUGCACGGAGGACUCGGACAUCAAGGUUUUAUCAGAUCUGUAAAUGAUGCUAACCUGAUGUUUGAGUUCUUAUGGAUUGGACUGGAGAUUGAUGCUGACAAUAAUGUUGUCAUGCGGGAUCAAGAAAUUGCAUCGAUGCGACAAGGGCGAGCUUUCUUAUCUCUCAUAAAUGACAGUAUCCCAAAGACUGUCUCUGCAGUGGAGAAGUUACUGGCUAUGCUGGAAGAGCAAGACAACUCUUUCACUCAGGCCCGUUUUGAGACCCUCCUCCUUGGGACUAUCUAUUCAGCCUACCAGGCACGAAACCAGAGGCUAGAGUCAGAGCAGCAGGCCUGGAUGGAUAUUCUUGGUCGUUUUGCAAAUGUUACUUUCGUUCAGCUACGCAAGUCUUAACUAACAAUAAACAUACCAGUGAUUCACA
ensembl:lncRNA